rnacentral:rRNA from 1 species
CCUACGGGAGGCUGCAGUGGGGAAUAUUGCGCAAUGGGCGCAAGCCUGACGCAGCGACGCCGCGUGAGGGAUGAAGGUCUUCGGAUCGUAAACCUCUGUCAGCAGGGAAGAACGGUCACUGUGCUAAUCAGCAGUGAAUUGACGGUACCUGCACAGGAAGCACCGGCUAACUCCGUGCCAGCAGCCGCGGUAAUACGGAGGGUGCGAGCGUUAAUCGGAAUUACUGGGCGUAAAGCGCUCGUAGGCGGUAUGUCAAGUCAAGGGUGAAAUCCCCGGGCUUAACGUGGGAACUGCCUUUGAAACGGGCAAACUGGAGUGUGUGAGAGGAGGGUGGAAUUCCAGGUGUAGGGGUGAAAUCCGUAGAUAUCUGGAGGAACAUCGAUGGCGAAGGCGACUAUCUGGCACAUAACUGACGCUGAUGAGCGAAAGCGUGGGUAGCAAACAGGAUUAGAUACCCUGGUAGUC